CCUACGGGAGGCAGCAGUGGGGAAUCUUGCGCAAUGGACGAAAGCCUGACGCAGCCAUGCCGCGUGAAUGAUGAAGGUCUUAGGAUUGUAAAAUUCUUUCACCGGGGACGAUAAUGACGGUACCCGGAGAAGAAGCCCCGGCUAACUUCGUGCCAGCAGCCGCGGUAAU
rnacentral:rRNA from 1 species